rnacentral:rRNA from 1 species
CAGUCGCCGCGGUAAUACGGAGGGUGCAAGCGUUAAUCGGAAUUACUGGGCGUAAAGCGUGCGUAGGCGGUUCGUUAAGUCUGUUGUGAAAGCCCCGGGCUCAACCUGGGAAUGGCAAUGGAUACUGGCGAGCUAGAGUGUGUCAGAGGAUGGUGGAAUUCCCGGUGUAGCGGUGAAAUGCGUAGAGAUCGGGAGGAACACCGAUGGCGAAGGCAGCCCCCUGGGCCAACACUGACGCUCAUGCACGAAAGCGUGGGGAGCAAACAGGAUUAGAUACCCCCGUAGUCCCUGUCUCUUAACA